UUCAACCAAUUCUCCUGCCUCAGCCUCCUGAGUAGCUGGGAUUACAGGCAACAACUGGAAACAACCCAAGUGUCCGUCAGCUAGAGAAUGGAUAGACCCAUGUGGUCUGUGCAUACAGUGGAGUGCUGCUCAGUUAUACAAAGAAAAGAAACUGGUUACAGGCCACAGGAGGGAUGACUUCAAAACAUUACAACUUUCACCUUUGUCAGUCAGGCUGGAGUGCAAUGGUGC